AGCAUUAGCUGACAGCUGCAUUAAUUUGUAGAGGAAAGUCCGUGCUAGCACUACCUGCGAUGGUAGUAGUGAUCGUGUAUAGCCUAAGAAGCUAUAGCUUAGACGACUAGUGCCACAGAGACGAGAAUUGUGAAACGGGUAAACUCCGCGAGCUAGAAACCCAAAUUUUGGUAGGGGAAUCUUAAUUACUUAAUUGAAGGUAAUUAAGGAGCGUUUUUAACGUUAGAUAAAUUGUCAGCACUGAGUAAUCAGAACAGAACACGGCUUAUUAU
rnacentral:RNase_P_RNA from 1 species